UGUUUCCUACGGGGGGCAGCAGUAGGGAAUCUUCCACAAUGGGCGCAAGCCUGAUGGAGCAACACCGCGUGAGUGAAGAAGGGUUUCGGCUCGUAAAGCUCUGUUGUUGGAGAAGAAAGUGCGUGAGAGUAACUGUUCACGUUUCGACGGUAUCUAACCAGAAAGCCACGGCUAACUACGUGCCAGCAGCCGCGGUAAUACGUAGGGGGCAAGCGUUAUCCGGAUUUAUUGGGCGUAAAGGGAACGCAGGCGGUCUUUUAAGUAUGAUGUGAAAGCCUUCGGCUUAAACGGAGUAGUGCAGUGGG
rnacentral:rRNA from 1 species